rnacentral:rRNA from 1 species
AUUGAACGCUGGCGGCAUGCCUAACACAUGCAAGUCGAACGAGACCCCUGACUUCGGUUGGCGGGUCUAGUGGCGCACGGGUGCGUAACGCGUGGGAAUCUGCCCUUGGGUUCGGAAUAACUCAGAGAAAUUUGAGCUAAUACCGGAUGAUGACGAAAGUCCAAAGAUUUAUCGCCCAGGGAUGAGCCCGCGUAAGAUUAGCUUGUUGGUGGGGUAAUGGCCUACCAAGGCGAGGAUCCGUAGCUGGUCUGAGAGGACGACCAGCCACACUGGGACUGAGACACGGCCCAGACUCCUACGGGAGGCAGCAGUGGGGAAUAUUGGACAAUGGGGGCAACCCUGAUCCAGCAAUACCGCGUGUGUGAAGAAGGCCUGCGGGUUGUAAAGCACUUUCAGUGGGAGGAAGAGCUUAUUGUUAAUAGCAAUGAGUUGAGACGUUACCCACAGAAGAAGCACCGGCUAACUCUGUGCCAGCAGCCGCGGUAAAGUACAGU